UGUCAUUUUGUCAAUAGCUGACUGCACUGGCCACAUUUACCUGCUGGAGAAAAGUCAUUCCGAUGUCAUUUUAAAUCAUAUUGGUCCAUGUUAUACACGAGAGAAACCCUAAUUCAAUUAUCUAUGGCAUGACAUUCUCCUAUUUUACAAAAAACGCAUUGAUUUUCAGUAAAUUGACGAAAAGUCGACCUACCCUAUGUUUAUUUUGGAUAAUUUGAACCAGAAAAGCUCAACAGGAAGUGCCAGAAUACUUUUUUCCGUCUCAACCAUUUGGUUGAGAUUAGAUGGUUUACCAGGCGUG
rnacentral:lncRNA from 1 species